rnacentral:rRNA from 1 species
AGCGAACGCUGGCGGCGUGCUUAACACAUGCAAGUCGCGCGCGAAAGGGAGCUUCGGCUGCUGAGUAGAGCGGCGAACGGGUGCGUAAGACGCGGGUGACCUAUCCACGAGGCGGGGAUAACCCUUCGAAAGAGGGGCUAAUACCGGAUGAGCCCACAGGCAGAGAUGCUAGGGGGCAAAGGGUGCUGUGUACUCGCAGCAUGUCUUUGUGGAGGGGCCCACGGCCUAUCAGCUAGUUGGUGUGGUAACGGCGCACCAAGGCGAAGACGGGUAGCUGGUCUGAGAGGAUGGCCAGCCACACGGGGACUGAGACACGGCCCCGACUCCUACGGGAGGCAGCAGUGGGGAAUCUUGGGCAAUGGGCGCAAGCCUGACCCAGCGACGCCGCGUGGGUG